CAAUCAUAAAACGGCUACUCAGAGGCAACAAACACUGCACUGAUGGCUUCUGACAACUUCAGACAGUGGCUGGAGAUGGGAAAAGCAUUGGCAGAUGAGUUUGCAUCAAAAAAACCAUCAAAGAAUGAUAUGAUUGGUUUCAUGGACAGUUUAUUUUAAAACCACACUUGACCUCGCUCAGGAUGAAGACCUUGGAAUUCAGCGGGCUCACCGAGCCCUGGCGCAGAGGCCAACUGACGCUAAUGCGAGGCCCCGCUCCAUCGUGCUCAGAU